UGCCCUCUGGCAUCUCACGUCAGAGACGAACGUUAGUAGCCUAUCACCCACUUCCUUCCAUUUGAGAGAAUGCAGCGACGCGACGGAGCCUGGUUAGAAGAAUCUCUCUGAAGUGCAGUUGAAGGAUGUUGGUGAAAGUUAAAUACCAGGCAGACCAGAUACAUUAAAAUGGUGGAAACUGAUGCCACUCUAGAGGAUUUCUUUAACCAAGUGUUCAUGAAAUUUGAUAUUGAAGCCAAACACCAAGCUGGGCUAAAAUGUAUGAUGAGUUUGGUACAGAAGAUUGACAACUAUGUGUCUGAAGAUGUGGUGAAGGAUCCAAAUUGUGGUGUAUUAAAGCUGAAGCCUGCAGAAGAUGAUGUAGAUGCAUUAUGUGAUUCAGAUGACACCACUGCCUUGUCUCCAAAUAAGCCCAAGGGAGAUGAUGGGGUAGAGCAAGAACAUUUCUAUGAUCCAGCCAGCGGAUCAGGGUACCUGGCCUGACGCAUUAAAACAAUUCAGAGGAAAGCCUCAGGAACCACAAAGUCCAGCACACAAUGAACAUAAUCUAGGACGAGCUUCUGAAGAUGUGCCCGAGCCAGUCCUGAAUGAAGAACAGCUGAGAGAGGCGGUAUCUCUAAUGAAGCAUUCUUCUGAUGAAGAAGUUGUGCGGCUGAAGGUGAACGUUUGAUUAUCGUCAGAAAAAAUGGUCCAUGACCCUCAAUCACCUCAUAUGCUUGCAACAUUCUCUUGAUUCGUGGAUGUAAUGGCAUCAGAUUGAGCAAGACUGUGUUACUGUUUGGUGAGAUUUCAGCGAAUCUUCUUGAGAGGUGGUCAACUAUGUUCAAAGAGAAGACUAUUAAACAGAGUAAAGGUCUUUCUUCCUCCAGCAUCGAACUGCAAAAAAGGAUCCAGGUAGCAGAAUCACCACAUGGGCUGUGUCCCGGUAGAACACUCAGAUUAAAGUGUGGUGAGACUGGGUGUUUCAGGGACAUUUGGCUUUUAGAAAACAUUUGGAAAGGUUACAUGAGUAUAGCGUUAAUAAUGUUCAUGUUUUGGAAAAUAACUGUAGUGAACACAGAAGUAAUGAUUUGGCGGUAGAUUUUGAUACAGUGGUUCCUGUUAUGCAUUCUGCUGUACAUGAGAUACAGGUUAAGGAAACUUCAGUUUUUUGAGUGAUAAGCAAAGUGUUGAGGAAAUGAAUCAUACUUUAAGUCAUCUUAAAUCUCUUCUAGGCCCCAUCCAUUGGAUCUUGCCUUAGGUAUGAGCUACACCAGGCGCGUAACUGAAGCGUUCCGUUUGCAACGCGUAAAAUAAAUUUUAAAUGAAUGGUCUAUUUUUUUCGAACGUACGCGCCACUAUCACGUCUGGUGUAGCUACCUCCAUUGAUUAUAGUGGCGGCUAAUUGUUGCAGCAGACGCUAUGCGAACGUAACGCUUUAGUUAGGCGCCUGGUGUAGCUUCACUGUUAGAAUGUGUGGACUUAAACAUGUCGGUGAUGCUAGAAUGUUUCAGUACAGACUGUAGAGUGAGUAAAAUUGGUAUGUAAGCUAAUGUAUCACUAACAACAACUUGAUAUUAUGUUCUAGUGGCUUUGUUCCAUUUGAUGCCAAAUGUGUUGUACAUGCAUUUACAAAAGGAAAAAAAAUUGAAACUUUUUAUAUUGUAUAUUGAUACAUUAACUUAAUAUUUUGUAAUAAAUAUUUUUUCAAUAA